rnacentral:rRNA from 1 species
GUCCACGCCCUAAACGAUGAGGACUAGAUGUCGGGAGGGUCUGCCUCUCGGUGUCGCAGCUAACGCGUUAAGUCCUCCGCCUGGGGAGUACGGCCGCAAGGUUGAAACUCAAAGGAAUUGACGGGGACCCCGCACAAGCGGUGGAGCAUGUGGUUUAAUUCGAUGCAACGCGCAGAACCUUACCUGGUCUUGACAUCCUCGGAAUUCUGCAGAAAUGCGGAAGUGCCUUCGGGAGCCGAGAGACAGGUGCUGCAUGGCUGUCGU